rnacentral:lncRNA from 1 species
CUUUGAUACCAAUACAAAUACAUAUGUCAUACAAUAAUUGUAUAAAAGUAUAUCAAUGUGGUAUAAAAGUGUAUCAAUUGAGUAUAGAGACUGCAUGUGUUCAAUUGGGCCAAAUGGCUAAAUAAUGAAAAUAAAUUGGGCCGACUGACUCCAAUUGUCUAUAUUUUCAAAUUGUGGGUCAUUUCUUUUCAAAGUGGUUAGCCCAUAGCCACUCGGUUAAAAGAACUGCCGCCGAGUGACC